GAAAGCGUAAUAGCUCACUAGUCGAGUCGGCCUGCGCGGAAGAUGUAACGGGGCUAAACCAGGUACCGAAGCUACGGGUUCAUUCUUAGGAAUGAGCGGUAGAGGAGCGUCGUGUACGCCAAUGAAGGUGGAUUGAGAAGUCUGCUGGAGGUAUCACGAGUGCGAAUGCUGACAUGAGUAACGAUAAAGGGAGUGAAAAACUCCCUCGCCGGAAGACCAAGGGUUUCUGUUCGACGCUAAUCGGAGCAGAGUGAGUCGGCCCCUAAGGCGAGGCCGAAAGGCGUAGUCGAUGGGAAACGGGUCAAUAUUCCCGUACCGGACAUGGUUGCGAUGGGGGGACGAAGAAGGCUAGGUGAGCCAGGCGUUGGUUGUCCUGGUGAAAGUGAGUAGGCUGAGGGUUUAGGUAAAUCCGGACCCUUUUAAGGCCGAGACACGAAACGAACUGACCACGGUCAGGAAGUCACUGAUGCCACGCUUCCAGGAAAAGCCUCUAAGCUUCAGAUCAUGUGCGACCGUACCCCAAACCGACACAGGUGGUCAGGGUGAGAAUCCCAAGGCGCUUGAGAGAACUCGGGUGAAGGAACUAGGCAAAAUGGUGCCGUAACUUCGGGAGAAGGCACGCCGGCGUAGGGUGAUGAGACUUGCUCUCUAAGCCCGAACCGGUCGAAGAUACCAGGUGGCUGCAACUGUUUAUUAAAAACACAGCACUCUGCUAACGCGCAAGCGGACGUAUAGGGUGUGACGCCUGCCCGGUGCCGGAAGGUUAAAUGAUGGUGUUAGCCGCAAGGCGAAGCUCUUGAUUGAAGCCCCGGUAAACGGCGGCCGUAACUAUAACGGUCCUAAGGUAGCGAAAUUCCUUGUCGGGUAAGUUCCGACCUGCACGAAUGGCGUAAUGAUGGGGGCGCUGUCUCCACCCGAGACUCAGUGAAAUCGAAAUCGCAGUGAAGAUGCUGUGUACCCGCGGCUAGACGGAAAGACCCCGUGAACCUUUACUAUAGCUUCACAGUGGACUUUGAACCUGUUUGUGUAGGAUAGCUGGGAGACUUUGAAGCAGUGACGCUAGUCAUUGUGGAGUCGUCCUUGAAAUACCAGCCUGGCAUGUUUGAGGUUCUAACCUGGGUCCCUUAUCGGGAUCGGGGACAUUGUGUGGUGGGUAGUUUGACUGGGGCGGUCUCCUCCCAAAGAGUAACGGAGGAGCACAAAGGUACCCUCAGCACGGUCGGACAUCGUGCAACGAGCGUAAAGGUAGAAGGGUGCUUGACUGCGAGACUUACAAGUCGAGCAGGUGCGAAAGCAGGUCUUAGUGAUCCGGUGGUUCUGUAUGGAAGGGCCAUCGCUCAACGGAUAAAAGGUACU
rnacentral:rRNA from 1 species